UACGAAGGGGGCUAGCGUUGUUCGGAAUCACUGGGCGUAAAGCGCACGUAGGCGGGUCGUUAAGUCGGGGGUGAAAUGCCAAGGCUCAACCUUGGAACUGCCUUCGAUACUGGCGAUCUCGAGUCCGGGAGAGGUGAGUGGAACUGCGAGUGUAGAGGUGAAAUUCGUAGAUAUUCGCAAGAACACCAGUGGCGAAGGCGGCUCACUGGCCCGGUACUGACGCUGAGGUGCGAAAGCGUGGGGAGCAAACAGG
rnacentral:rRNA from 1 species